UUUUUUUCAAUAAAAAUAGAAUUUAUUUAAACAAGUUGGAAAGGGAGGAAAAUAUAUGGAAAAAUAUAAAGAUGUAUAUACUGUAUGAACGCAGUGGUAUAAAUAUGAACGAUACAGUAAGGUGGAACUGAGGAAACAAACAGAGAUGGAAAACACUGCAUUUGAAGAAUAGGGACUUGGAACAGAAAAGUCUGCUUCAUUAAGUCUGUGGUUACUUUGUUCUCUGGAUCAAAGUCUCUUGUAAUACCGACUCACUGCUGUGAACCGUAUUUGUACACGGAAAGUUACAAUUACUGUGAAACAUGAAGAAGCAGCAUGACUCUCUACACACCCUAAAUGCCCCGUGAAGAUUGAAAAUCCCAGUGAUCAUGAACCAUUCUGCUCUCUGGACCUCUCUGAUCCAUCCUAAGGUCCGGUUUCUGGUUGUUUCAUCACCUCUCACUGCUGAUGAGGAUGUUCCACAUGGACAGCCUGGAGAUACAGGAGAUUACUGUGGAAGGUGUCACAUAGAAAUCAUUUGAAUUGAGGAAUACAGACAGUUUCUGUCCAACAAAAAUAGACAUGUUUAACCUACUAUCAAUUUCUUGGUUACAAAACCGUGGUAUAAUGUAAAAUUUAAAAAAUAUUGCACGUUAUCAAAGGGAAAAUGAUUUAUGAUCACUCUCCGGUGUCACCAAGUGUGAGCAGCAAUUGUCUUCCCCUUGAAUUCUGCGUUCGGGUCUGAGCUUUCAGUAUCUCAAGAUUCCUCUUGGCCCGGUGUAUUAGCAGGAGCUCAUCACAGCAUCACACCAAAGCACAAACACUUUCCUUCCUCUCUAGUAAAUUUAUACAGCAUAGACUUGUUGAGUGCCUACUCAAAAUUUCAUGUACACCCCAGAAACCUUUUGAAAAGCCACUUCAGGCAGUACAUCUUCAUUCCUUUCUAAGUUUAUAGUAGUUUGGAGCCUUUGAGCAGCCACAGUAACUAUCAAAGGGGCAGUAGAGAUGCUUCUGCUAUUGCAGCCUUUAAUCUGGAACCUCCUGUCGGACAUUAGGACCUCCGUGGGAUCUGCAAAAUAUCUCAAAUAAUUUUUUCUUUAGAAAAAAAACUAAACAAAAUUCAAUGCAGUAUCAUCUUGGUGAAAAAUUGAUUUUUUAGUAUGACAUAAAUGGCUCACACUGAGACAGGUAAUAACACACUGUGUGUUCUCUAAGCACAGAUAUAUUUGUGGUGGACUGGGAAAACCUGUCGGAUGUUCUUGUGACUCAAUAUGGGUGAGAAAAAUCAAGUCAUGUCUAGGGUUAAAGAACCAUAUGUAACCAGUCUGAUGCCAGUCAGCUUACAGUACAUGUCUUUGGACUGGUUGAGGAACCCACAGGAAACCUUGAAGCACAGGGAGAACACACACAGUAAACUCUACACACAGUUGUUUGGGAAUAAAACCCCCAACUCCAAGGGCUUGACAUUUACAUUCAUGGCCUUUGGAAGCCCUUACAUUUAUCUCGUUUCUACAGCUGAGCAAUUGAGGGUUACGGCUUAGAGACCCAGGAAUGGCAGAUUGGUGGCCUUGGGAUUUAAACUCAGAACCUUUCAUUCAGUAGUCCUCUGAGUUACCACUUCCGCAUGAGGCAGAUGUGAUUAUACUAACCACUAAAAUCUGAACAAGUGAAGGCUUCCUAGGCUGUAAUACAUUUUCAAGAGAAACUGUUUUGUUGAUCAGCACCUGGGACCUCGUGCACAUUAAACUUUAUCUAAGUUUAGCUAAGUUUAUUUAAAGGGUCUAAUACAUUUACAUAUACAUUUACAUUGUAAAUAUGGAUUAAAGUACUAUUUUUGUUUUUUGAUUUAGUGUAGGAGGGCAAGGUGGCUUAGUGGUUUUUACAUCUUUUCACCUCAUGCGAUUCCCGCCUCCGCCUUGUGUGUGUGGAGUUUGCAUGUUCUCCCCGUGCCUCGGGGGUUUCCUCCGGGUACUCAGGUUUCCUCCCCCGGUCCAAAGACAUGCAUGGUAGGUUG